rnacentral:lncRNA from 1 species
AUUUUUUAUAACUUAAAAACAUUUAGUCCUUUUUAGAUAUUCACUACAUAUGAAGAAUACCAGGGAUGGCAGAGCCUGGUGGGCUGCCGUCUAUGGGGUUGCACAGAGUCGGACACGACUGAAGCGACUUAGCAACAACAACAACAACAACAUAUUAAUGAGUGCAUGCUAAGUCACUUUAGUCAUGUCUGACUCUUUGUGACCCCAUGAACUGUAGCCCACCAGGUUCCUCUGUCUAUGAAAUUUUUCAGGCAAAAAUGUUGGAGUCAGUUACCAUUCACUUCUCUAGGGGAUCUUCCUCGUCCAGGGAUUGAACCCAGGUCUCCUGCAUUGUAGGCAGACUCUUAACCAUCUGAGCCACCAGGGAAGCCAUGUACAGGGAGGGCUCAGGGUAGGUGUGGAUAAUUCAUGUAAAACAGUUUGCAUAGGUUUUCUGGAAAGAAAAUUUCCCACCUGAUAGUUCCACUUGCCUUUCUGACAAACAGUAUUUCUGUCCUGGUAAGCACCGCUUUCCUCUGGGUGUCCUGUUCUCAGUUGAUAUCACACACGUCAGAUCUGUAAGUAUACUGGAAACCAUAUGGUCCAAAUGUCUUAUUCUGCAGACGUGACAUUUGAGGGCUGGAAAUUUAAAGAAGCUUGGUUUACAUCUUCAGAGUGUCUGACUGCCUUUGUCAGAUGUAAGAUUAAUUGUAACAGAUUUCACCUGAAAAGCAGAUUAAAAAAAAUAAAAUCAUUUCUUGACUUCCCUUCCCCCUACCUCAGUGCAUGAUGUUCCAACACCGAGUCUUGCAAUUGAUGUUUACUUGUGGUAUAUCUCUCCAUGGUAGAUGUAGCGCUUAAACCAGUCAGAAAGGGCUUUGUUGAAAGCAAUAGUAAAGACCAACACAGCAGUGACUUAAAACAGACACUGAUUUCUCUCUCCUAUAAAAGACAUGCAGAGAUAGGCUGCUCAGGGGUGGUGAGCCAGCAAUCUGCAUGUUUCAGGUCCUUCUUGCUCAGCUCUCCACCAUCCCUGGAGCGUGGCCCUUGUCCUCCUAUCCAGGUUGGCUUGUCUGUCCAUCAUAUCUGUAUUCUAGACAGCAGGAUUUUGGAAAGAGAAGAAAGAGGCAGCUGAUAACAAAAGGUCUCCAGCAUGAUAAACUGCCUGCCUGCAAUUCAACUGUAUCAAAAUCCUCUUGGCUCUCUUAAAAAUAAAUAAAAUUGGAAAUGGAAACGUGUGAAGACA